rnacentral:rRNA from 1 species
GGGAAUCUUGCGCAAUGGGCGAAAGCCUGACGCAGCCAUGCCGCGUGUAUGAUGAAGGUCUUAGGAUUGUAAAAUACUUUCACCGGUGAAGAUAAUGACUGUAGCCGGAGAAGAAGCCCCGGCUAACUUCGUGCCAGCAGCCGCGGUAAUACGAAGGGGGCUAGCGUUGCUCGGAAUUACUGGGCGUAAAGGGAGCGUAGGCGGACAUUUAAGUCAGGGGUGAAAUCCCGGAGCUCAACUCCGGAACUGCCCUUGAUACUGGGUGUCUUGAGUGUGAGAGAGGUAUGUGGAACUCCGAGUGUAGAGGUGAAAUUCGUAGAUAUUCGCAAGAACACCAGUGGCGAAGGCGGCUCACUGGCCCGGUACUGACGCUGAGGUGCGAAAGCGUGGGGAGCAAA